rnacentral:rRNA from 1 species
AGCCUGAUCCAGCAACGCCGCGUGAGGGAUGACGGCCUUCGGGUUGUAAACCUCUUUCAGUAGGGACGAAGCGCAGUGACGGUACCUACAGAAGAAGCACCGGCCAACUACGUGCCAGCAGCCGCGGUAAUACGUAGGGUGCGAGCGUUGUCCGGAAUUAUUGGGCGUAAAGGGCUCGUAGGCGGUUUGUCGCGUCGGGAGUGAAAACACUGGGCUUAACUCAGUGCUUGCUUCCGAUACGGGCAGACUAGAGGUAUUCAGGGGAGAACGGAAUUCCUGGUGUAGCGGUGAAAUGCGCAGAUAUCAGGAGGAACACCGGUGGCGAAGGCGGUUCUCUGGGAAUUACCUGACGCUGAGGAGCGAAAGUGUGGGGAGCGAACAGGAUUAGAUACCCUGGUAGUCCACACCGUAAACGUUGGGCGCUAGGUGUGGGGUCCAUUCCACGGAUUCCGUGCCGCAGCUAACGCAUUAAGCGCCCCGCCUGGGGAGUACGGCCGCAAGGCUAAAACUCA